GCCUAGAUGAUUUUAGUGCUUGCACUAAAUGAAACUAGAUACAAGCGAGCGGCGGACGGGUGAGUAACACGUGGGUAACCUGCCCAAGAGACUGGGAUAACACCUGGAAACAGAUGCUAAUACCGGAUAACAACACUAGACGCAUGUCUAGAGUUUGAAAGAUGGUUCUGCUAUCACUCUUGGAUGGACCUGCGGUGCAUUAGCUAGUUGGUAAGGUAACGGCUUACCAAGGCAAUGAUGCAUAGCCGAGUUGAGAGACUGAUCGGCCACAUUGGGACUGAGACACGGCCCAAACUCCUACGGGAGGCAGCAGUAGGGAAUCUUCCACAAUGGACGAAAGUCUGAUGGAGCAACGCCGCGUGAGUGAAGAAGGGUUUCGGCUCGUAAAGCUCUGUUGGUAGUGAAGAAAGAUAGAGGUAGUAACUGGCCUUUAUUUGACGGUAAUUACUUAGAAAGUCACGGCUAACUACGUGCCAGCAGCCGCGGUAAUACGUAGGUGGCAAGCGUUGUCCGGAUUUAUUGGGCGUAAAGCGAGUGCAGGCGGUUCAAUAAGUCUGAUGUGAAAGCCUUCGGCUCAACCGGAGAAUUGCAUCAGAAACUGUUGAACUUGAGUGCAGAAGAGGAGAGUGGAACU
rnacentral:rRNA from 1 species